ACAAGGUUGUCUUGGGUUGUGCUACU
rnacentral:piRNA from 1 species